AAUCUGCUGCGGACAAAUAAAAUGAAUAUGGGCGUCCACACCUCCAGCUGUUAAGAUCUGCCCCUCUCCCGCUAUCACCUCUGUGCCGGGACCAAUCACAAUGCUCACGCCAUCCUGCACAUCUGGAUUACCGGCCUUGCCAAUCGCUGAAAUUCUGCCUUCCUUGAUCCCUACAUCUGCCUUGACAAUACCCCAGUGGUCUAGAAUUAGGGCGUUUGUGAUCACCACGUCGACCGUUUCAAAGCAACUACGCUGACUCUGACCCAUGCCGUCACG
rnacentral:sRNA from 1 species